rnacentral:lncRNA from 1 species
GGUGUCCUCCACUGCCCAGCUGGUAGGUUUCUCUCUCCUUUAUUUUUUUUUGAAAUAGACUUAUUUUAAUUUGUUUAAUUCCUUCUAGUUUGAACCCUAAAAAUUAAUUGUUCUUAGCUAAAUUAAAUCUAUGAUAAUUGUUAGUAGCUAAAAUAUUUGGUUUUACCUAUUAAUUUGGGCAAGAAAUGGUUUGAAGAGAAGAAACCCUAAACUUUUAGAGUUUAUGAUUUUUUCUUGUGAAUCGAACUUUUUAGGGUAUAAAUUGAACUUUUAGUUUAAUCUUGAUUAGUUUAUAGGUAGAUAUUUAAUAUAGACACAUGAUAGUAUAUAUAUUUGGAUUUUCUCUUAAAGUUCAAGACAAUGUUAAUGUUUAACGCCUUAAGCGAAUCGUUGCGUGGCUCUUGUUUGAGUACAACGAGUCACCCACAUAGAGGAUAACUAACAUUAGCCGUGUAAUAAUGCUUGAAAUAACAAUGAGUUGAACCUUUAGGAUAAAACUAGUUUAGUUAUAAAUAGAAAUUUUAGGAUAUGACUUGAAGCUUUUAGGAUAUGAGUUGAACUUUUAGUAUAUGACUUGAGCCUUUUAGGUAUGAGUUGAAGCUUUAGGAUAUAAAUUAAACCUUUUAGGUAUGAGUUGAAGCUUUUAGGAUAUAAAUUGAACUUUUAGUUUAAGUUUAAACUCGUAGGAUAUGAAUAUAACUUCAUAUAAAUUGAACCUUGAAUCUUUGUAUUGUCUUGAUAGUUUAGUUAUAAAUAGAAAUUUUAGGAUAUGACUUGAAGCUUUUAGGAUAUGAGUUUAACUUUUAGGAUAUGACUUGAGCCUUUUAGGUAUGAGUUGAAGCUUUAGGAUAUAAAUUGAAGCAUUUAUGUAUAAGUUGAACCUUUAGGAUAUGACUUGAACUUUUGUGGAUAUGAAUUGAACCUUUUAGGAUACGAGCUGAAUUUUUAGGAUAUGAAUUGAACCUUUUAGGUAUGAUUUAAAGCUUUUAGGAUAUGACUUGAACUUUUUACGAUAUGAGUUGAAACUUUUAGGAUAUGAGUUGAACUUUUAGGAAAUAAAUUGAACCUUUAGGAUAUGACUUGAACUUUUAGUUUAUGUUUAAACUCGUAGGAUAUGAAUAUAACUUUUAGUUUUUAGGUUUUGUUCUUGUGUUGAACUUGUAGGAUAUAAAUUGAAACUUUUAGGAUAUGAGUUGAAUUUUUAGGAUAUAAAUAGAAAUUUUAGGAUAUGACUUGAAGUUUUGUGGAUAUGAAUUGAACCUUUAGGAUAUAAAUUGAACUUUUAGUUUAUGUUUAAACUCGUAGGAUAAGAAUUGAUGAACUUUUAGUUUUUAGAUUUUGUUCUCUUGAAUUGAACUUGUACGAUAUAAAUUG